rnacentral:rRNA from 1 species
GUGACUGCGUACCUUUUGUAUAAUGGGUCAGCGACUUAUUUUCAGUGGCGAGCUUAACCGAAUAGGGGAGGCGUAGCGAAAGCGAGUCUUAAUAGGGCGUCUAGUCGCUGGGAAUAGACCCGAAACCGGGCGAUCUAUCCAUGGGCAGGUUGAAGGUUAGGUAACACUGACUGGAGGACCGAACCGACUACCGUUGAAAAGUUAGCGGAUGACCUGUGGAUCGGAGUGAAAGGCUAAUCAAGCUCGGAGAUAGCUGGUUCUCCUCGAAAGCUAUUUAGGUAGCGCCUCAUGUAUCACUGUAGGGGGUAGAGCACUGUUUCGGCUAGGGGGUCAUCCCGACUUACCAAACCGAUGCAAACUCCGAAUACCUACAAGUGCCGAGCAUGGGAGACACACGGCGGGUGCUAACGUCCGUCGUGAAAAGGGAAACAACCCAGACCGUCAGCUAAGGUCCCAAAGUUAUGGUUAAGUGGGAAACGAUGUGGGAAGGCUUAGACAGCUAGGAGGUUGGCUUAGAAGCAGCCACCCUUUAAAGAAAGCGUAAUAGCUCACUAGUCGAGUCGGCCUGCGCGGAAGAUGUAACGGGGCUCAAACCAUACACCGAAGCUACGGGUAUCACCUUCGGGUGAUGCGGUAGAGGAGCGUUCUGUAAGCCUGUGAAGGUGAGUUGAGAAGCUUGCUGGAGGUAUCAGAAGUGCGAAUGCUGACAUGAGUAACGACAAUGGGUGUGAAAAACACCCACGCCGAAAGACCAAGGUUUCCUGCGCAACGUUAAUCGACGCAGGGUUAGUCGGUCCCUAAGGCGAGGCUGAAAAGCGUAGUCGAUGGAAAACAGGUUAAUAUUCCUGUACUUCUGGUUAUUGCGA